rnacentral:lncRNA from 1 species
UGGGUUACAAUAAUUCAUAUUUUGUGAAGAAUCACACUGAAUCUUCCAGAAAAUAUACUGAAGAUAAUAUUAUCAAAAUGCUGGCCUUUUUGAUCGACAAUAUAUUUGUUGAGUUUGGAGGAUUUAUAUUUCAACAGACAGUCGGUAUUCCAAUGGUUACUAAUUGUGCACCCCUGCUGACUGAUUUGUUUUUGUACUCGUAUGAAGCAGAAUUC